rnacentral:sRNA from 1 species
AGCAGCCGCGGUAAUUCCAGCUCCAAUAGCGUAUAUUAAAGUUGUUGCAGUUAAAAAGCUCGUAGUUGAAUUUCGGGAUUGACACAUCGGUCGUGCCUUAAGGGGUAUGAACUGGUGUAGUCAAUUUCUCACCUUCUGGAGAACCGCGAUGCCCUUAAUUGGGUGUCGCGGGGAACCAGGACCUUUACUUUGAAAAAAUUAGAGUGUUUAAAGCAGGCACUUUGCUUGAAUACACUAGCAUGGAAUAAUAAAAUAGGACGGCAUGAUUCUAUUUUGUUGGUUUCUAGGAUCACCGUAAUGAUUAAUAGGGAUAGUUGGGGGCAUUAGUAUUUCAAUUGUCAGAGGUGAAAUUCUUGAAUUUUAUUGAAGACUAACUACUGCGAAAGCAUUUGCCAAGGAUGUUUUCAUUAAUCAAGAACGAAAGUUAGGGGAUCGAAGACGAUC